AGAGUUCGAUCCUGGCUCAGGACGAACGCUGGCGGCGUGCCUAACACAUGCAAGUCGAACGGAGAUAUUUCACCGAGACGGAUUUAAGCUUGCUUAUUGAAGGAUCACCGAGAUAUCUUAGUGGCGGACGGGUGAGUAACGCGUGAGGAACCUGCCUUUCAGAGGGGGACAACAGUUGGAAACGACUGCUAAUACCGCAUGACACAGCGAAGCGGCAUCGCUUUGCUGUCAAAGGAGCAAUCCGCUGAAAGAUGGCCUCGCGUCUGAUUAGAUAGUUGGUGGGGUAAUGGCCUACCAAGUCUGCGAUCAGUAGCCGGACUGAGAGGUUGAACGGCCACAUUGGGACUGAGACACGGCCCAG
rnacentral:rRNA from 1 species